UCCGUAGGCGGUCUUAUAAGUCAGUGGUGAAAGCCCAUCGCUCAACGAUGGAACUGCCAUUGAUACUGUAAGACUUGAAUUUUUGUGAAGUAACUAGAAUAUGUAGUGUAGCGGUGAAAUGCUUAGAUAUUACAUGGAAUACCAAUUGCGAAGGCAGGUUACUAACAAACGAUUGACGCUGAGGCACGAAAGUGUGGGGAUCAAACAGGAUUAGAUACCCUCGUA
rnacentral:rRNA from 1 species